GCAAUUCUCCUGCCUCAGCCUCCCAAGCAGCUGGAAUUACAGGAACAUGAACAGUUGCAAUGAUAAUCGCGGACCUUCGGUAAUGGAGUCUCCCAGCAACAAGCCAGAUCCUGCCGUAGCCCACCCUCUGCCCUGGCAAGAUGAGCGUGGAGUCGGGGGUUUUGCUGCUUCAGAGCAGCAGUCAUGGAGCUCUGGCCUGGCCCUGAUGGAUUUUUCUCAUCCCUGAUGCCCUGAAGUGGGCCCGCCAAGCAGCCCCAACUCUUUUGGGCUGUCCCCACAUGUGGGCUGUCCCCAGAGCUCUCUCCUCUCCAUGACAGCAGUCCUUGGCGUCAUCCCAGCCUCUGGCCCAGGGCUCUCAGGGUCAUGCUUCUGGCACAGCUCAGGCUCCCCUGGGUGCCCUGCCCUUGGCGGGUGACUGCACCCUGGGAGGAAGGGAGGUGCAGCUGGAGAGGAGGAAUGGUGGGGAGCCUCAGGCGGGGUGGCUGGAGGCAGGCAGUGUCUGGAUGGCUGCCAGAAUAGGGGCCAACCCUCUCCCAGGCACAAAGGGCUCUCUGUAAGGGACACGCCGGCCCCAAGUGGAAUCCAGGAGGCUCAUGUUUCUUAAUACAAAGGAGGGUCAUUCCCAGACCAGCCUGGGUGUGGCCUGGAGGCUGAAGCCCUCUGGGCGGUGCCCUUGGACUCCUAGGGUCCCAUGUGGGGGGCUUCAGUCCUCAUUCUGAUCUGGUCUGCGCAGGCAGAUGGAGAGAGGCCUGGGCAGGAGGCCUCACCUCUUCUUCUGGGAGAGGUCUUCCUAGGUCUCCUCUACCACAUUCUCCCUCCCGCACACACACAUGCAUACACACGCUUGCACACUCAGAGUCCAAGGGAGAGAAGAUUCCCAUCCUAACCACACUUAGAUUAGCCAAGUACAUUGUGCAGACCCUUCUUCUGGCUGGGAAGCAUAUCACGAGAGCCACUGUGUGACCACAGGCAACAGGAUUCCUUCUCUUCAGAACUCGGAAGUGCUCCCUGCCACGAAGCACCUUCUCAGUGUGACCCUGCCAAACAUAAAAUAGAUAUGCAUAUAUGUACACACACACACACAUACACACACACGUGUGUGUAUGUGUGUGUAUAUAUAUAUAUAGAGAGAGAGAGACUUAAAAAUGGCAUGGAAGAGAUUUGAAAUGGUCAUGCUGAUGUGUCUUUCAGCCAAGCCUGAGGCUGAUUUGGGUGACUGUGCCCUGUGGAAAGAAGUGGAUCAGGGGGAUACCUAAAUACUCACUGGGCCUUGUGGGCUUUGUGUUUUUAAAUCGAAGAGUUGGAGUAGGAUCUCUACGCUCUCUUCAGCUCUUGGUACAGGCCUGAAAGCCACAAGGCUGGACAUCCACCCACCAGCGCUGCCCACCCAGCUCCCGAGGCCCUGCUGCAUCAGAGGUCUCUGAGGAUGUCUGUGGGGGCACUGGCAGGCACAGUCCCUCCCUGGACCAUAGCUGAGGUCUGAGGGUAAUGGAUAAGAAGUGUGGGAUUUUCAAAGACUGGCCUUUUCCUGUCCUGUAUGUUCUGCAUUGGGAACUAUGAAGAAGAUAUUCAUUUGUCGAACACACAUUUCUUGAGCACCAUCCAUGCACCCAUAAAUAAAACAGACACAAUUUCCUGCU